UGGUUUGUUGAGAAAACCACUUUUCUCGCUUUCACAAUAACGUAUCGUCACUCUUGUUGCCAGGCGGUAAUCAAUUUCGAAUCAUUAACGGACGCUCCUACCGUGGAUAGAAAAGGCAUCUGGGUGCAGCUGCUAACAACCAACUCUAAAACUGACGGAACGACCUAAUAGUUCUUUGGAAAAUUUUAAAUAAACGUUUACUGAAGGCACAAUAGUAACUCGUAUUAAAUUUUGCUGUGUCACUAGAUAAACGGAGUAAACUGAGCACACAAAUCACUUUCCAACGUGUGCGCUUUUCUCGUAAAACCCUGACCGGCCACUACUAUUUGACAAGCUCAAUCCUAAGUAGGCUGACAAUUUUGAAAAAAAGGGCGGUCCUUGCGAAGGAUUAGAGAGCAACUGACCAUCAGUGUUCGUUGAUUUUAUCUUGACAUUAAGACAAUGACAAUUGAGACAUGAAAUCUCUUGAUGAGUGUAAUCUCAUAAAAAAAAUAAAAAUCAUGCAUUUGGUUCCUGCCCACCGAAGUUUAGACCCACCGUAUUCAUGAAAUAAUUAUUUUAUUACCUAAGUUCAUAGCAGGACAAGUAAUGAUAGAUCACGACAAAUUGCAACAGAUAGUCAUUAGAAGUCGCAAAUUUAUUUAGGCCUUUUUUUACUCAACGUAUAUACUACAGCAUUGACAACUACAAAACUUUUCACUUCGACAUAGCUUCGAGUGAAGAGAGUAAACCAGUAACAUGGAUCGUUAAUUGACAAAAUUGAAAUGCGCAUACUAUUUCAGCAUGCAGUUGACUAAAUCAAUACAGAAUUUACCAGUCGGUGUGUUUGUUCAAUUUGUGAGUAUAGAAACCGGUGUAUAAUGCAUAAAGUAGUGUUUCGAAAAUAUCAUACCUAAAAUCGUUUAAUAUUUGUGAACUACCAUUUCCGAAACACAGGAAAAUUGAAAGGCAAAAUAUUGGCAGUUUAAUUGAGUUACAAACUUACAAUAAUGUAAUACUAAAAAAUGUUUGAAUACAAAAAUGAUUUUAUAUUAUUUAAAGUGCGUAUAUAAAUUAUGUACCAUUUCUAACCAAUUAAAAUAUCGUAUAGCUAAUUGCUAAUAUCAACUAGUCUACUAGCCAAACAAAUUUCAAAUUCGAAAUAUUAUAUUUUACUCGCCAAUAAUUAAAACUAGGACAACUGACGAUUACUUCUAGCGACAGGUAAAUGGAUUUAAAAAGAUUAUCUUUGGGAGACUAAGUAUCACAAAAAAUGCGUUAAUUCGCAAAUCGGUAAAAUCAAUAAUUACGCUAAAAUUUAAAAUCAAUUUGCACGGCGUGAUUAGAGAAUAGUAGCAGAGGAAAGAGCUUCAAUCCACCUAAAAAAUAAAAUUCGAGUAAUUAAAGUUAUAUUCACUUUGUAAAUGCAUAAAAUAGGAUAUUACUUUUUGGUCAAAACAGCAUUUUCAGCCUGAAAGACAAUUGGCGAUUGCUUAGGAUGAAACAACUGAAACUCGUUCUGUUCAUUUUCCUCUACAACCUAAUUUCAUAUAAAAAAAAAUAAAAAAAAAUUCAAUAUAUUUUAAAACACUCAUCAUAUACAAAUGUAACCCAUGUAAAUGAUACCUCUUGAAAGGUUUGUACUUCAUAGCCGAGCACCGGAAUAGUAUCCAAUGCAACAACGUCUUCUGGUGCUUUGUAAAUAUAAAGUACUUUGUCUUUUAAAACAAACCAAUUCUUUUUCCAGGAUCGUCGGAUCCUGCGUGACAAAUAACCACUAAUUUGUGAUUCUGCAUCAUUAGCAGGGACCUAAAGUAAUUUUUUUUUUUGUUAAAACCAGAAGGAAAAAGGUAAAUUUUUAGAUAUUUACCUCCAUCAAACGUGGCGGGAUGUAGCGACGUUCUUUACGGAAGUCCCGUCUUACAUGUUGAGCUCGAAGUCCGGCUUGAGAAGUCGACUGACUCACUGGAUCCGAUGAAGGCCGUCUGCUUCCAACUUCAUCGUUGAAGGCGUGAACAAAGCAGACUGGAGGCACAUUGACUAGACUGGCACUUAGAUCCGUUUCAAUUAGACUGCUGCAAUUGCUCGAAUCCAUACCCUCCUCAAUUACGGAACCUUCUUGCCCUUU